UACGUAGGGUGCGAGCGUUAAUCGGAAUUACUGGGCGUAAAGCGUGCGCAGGCGGUUCGUUGUGUCCGUCGUGAAAGCCCCGGGCUUAACCUGGGAACUGCAUUUGUGACUGCAUAGCUAGAGUACGGUAGAGGGGGAUGGAAUUCCGCGUGUAGCAGUGAAAUGCGUAGAUAUGCGGAGGAACACCGAUGGCGAAGGCAAUCCCCUGGACCUGUACUGACGCUCAUGCACGAAAGCGUGGGGAGCAAACAGG
rnacentral:rRNA from 1 species